GGUUGGGUAGUUUAGUGGUAGAACACCAGCAUGGAGCAUGGUAUGCUGGAGACCGGGGUUCGAAUCCCGGACCAACCG